rnacentral:lncRNA from 1 species
CUGCGGAGUAAGUUCAAAGAGGAGAGAGAAAUGUCAUCUCUAAAAUGGUGUAACAUUAGGUAUCGUUUAAGAUCCAGGAGAAAAGCAGAGACCAAGAAGAAACACGUCAUUAUGAGCCUGCUCUCGCUAGAGGCAUAGUGAAGGAAGGGCUGAGUGCAAGAAAGCAUGUUAAGCAAAGAGACGUGUGAGUGUGUGAGUUAAUGUAAAACCUGGAAUGGAACAGUCAUAACGAGGAGUCACCAAGGCCAAAUUACCCUCCUGAACAAAGACACGGGGGUGGAGAGGAGGGUGCUUAGAGCCACAGCGACGUGAGAUUGCGGCUUCAUCUGGGAGGAAAGUGAGUCUCAUUAUCCUCAGGCUCAGAAAAUCACUAAAGUUCAGCACUUGAAUGAGAGGGCACUGGGUCCACGCUGGAGCAUCCCAGAGCUGAUCAAUCCCUCUGGAAGCAGGGACACCCCUGGCUCCAUAGGAUUCCAUUUUGCUGAACUACUGGUUCAGAAACACAAGAGCCUGACAUCUAUGGGAACACAGAGCCAGAAAACCCAGGCACAGACCAGGACAUCUCCGAGGUAUUUCCAGCAGGUAUCUGCUAGACGCGUUCUCUCUGCCAGCCCGCUGACUUGCUAGCUGUGGAGCAACUGCAGUACGUGCCCGUCCCUGUCACCAGGGGCUGGCCAUCAACAGAAGCUGCUCCUUCCAAGCCGGCCACGCGUCUACUACUUCAUCAUCCUCUCGGGGGAUAAAAAUCCCUGGAGCAAACCCUCUCCUUCCUCCCAAAGGAGCCAUGGGAAGCCACUCUCUACAAUUUGCAGCAAACACGGAAGCACCAGAAUCCUGCACGUAUGCUCGGAGGAAACGCACAGAGGACAAAUGCAGGGUCGCAGGAUACAAGAAUGGCAAAGGCUGACUCCAGAGAACGUUGUUAAGCUUCAAAUCUAUACUGUGCAUUGGAAGGUAAACAAGCAUCAUCCACACAACUAACUGACUGCAUUCACCAGCACACUCUGAAGUCUUCAACUACUGCUAUUAAUCUAUUUUUCUCAACAUUAUUUUCUUUCCUCAUUCUUGGAUUUCUUUUUAUUUAUGUAUUUAUUUUUUGAGAUGGAGUCUUGCUCUGUCGCCAGGCUGGAGUGCAGUGGCGCGAUCUCAGCUCACUGCAACCUCUGCCUCCCGGGUUCAAGUGAUUCUCCUGCCUCAGCCUCCUGAGUAGCUGGGACUACAGGCACAUGUCACCACGCCCAGCUAAUUUUUGUAUUUUCAGUAGAGACGAGGUUUCACCAUGUUGGCCAGGAUGGUCUCCAUCUCUUGACCUCGUGAUCCACCCACUUCGGCCUCCCAAAGUGCUGGGAUUAUAGGCGUAUGCCACUGCGCCUGGCCUCAUUCUCGGAUUUCUUUAACCUCUCCUUGGAGGGGACACAGAACUGGAUGACAAGGAAGAAACACUCCUGGGAGAUGUGGUUGGGGGCAGGAUAGAGAGAACAAAGGCCAGGGCCAGGCAAGGCUGGGGAAAGGAUGAAGGCUGAGAUUUGGGGGGUGAGGGAGGUGUCCAGAAGAUGAUGAGACGUUCAGGAGAAUGGGAGGGCAGGAAAACAGGGCAAGGUUUGGACGGGUCUCCCCGCUGCCGGGGGUCUGGUACUGCCUGUGCAGCGCAGGCUGGAGGGAAAAUGUAAGCUGCCCAGUGCCGCUGCCCUGCCCACCCCUGCUGCACCUCUGAGUCACUCAGUUCUUCCAAAGGAAAAGCUGGGAAGAAGGAGUUCGGUGUCUGGACUUCUAAUCAGCUUGUUCCUUACAGCACUAUUUACUGAGGGAAAGAUUUUAAAUGUUCAGCUAGGAAAACUGGUGGAAUAUAUUAGGAUACAUCAUGACAAAAAGAUGCAGCCUUUGACACACAACCUCUUAUAGUAUUUUUAACAACAGGCGGAAAGAGCCCUAUGUAACAUGAAGAAAAGUUAGAGACAAAGCCAUAUAUAUGUACGGUCCAGUCAGAUACCAAUUAGAUAAGCAGACUCGACAGAGACUAGAAAGAACACACGAAAAGCAGUAACAGGGACUAUUCUGUACUGGAGAAUUAAGGGCUAUUUUUCUUUUUUUCCAUUUUGGUAAUUUUGCAGGUUCUCUAGAAGCAUAAUUUGUGUUUGUAAUCUUUUUUUUUUUUUUUUUUUUUUGAGACAGUCUCACUCUGCCACCUAGGCCGGAGUGCAGUGGUGCGAUCUCGGCUCAUGGCAACCUCCGCCUCCCGGGUUCAAGUGAUUCCCGUGCUUCAGCCUCCUGAGUAGCUGGGAUUAGAGACACGCGCCACCACGGCCGGCUAAUUUUUGUAUUUUAGUAGAGAUGAGGUUUCACCAUGUUGGCCAGGUUGGUCUCAAACUCCUGACCUCGGGUGAUCUGCCUGCCUUGGCCUGCCAAAGUGCUGGGAUUACAGGCGUGAGCCACCACGCCUGGCUGUAUCUGUAAUCUUUAGAGGUAUUAAAAAAAAUAUAUCUUCAACUAAAGCUUAGACUGAUAGAAGAGGCAAAAGCAGGGCAAGAGAGAGGUGGCCCGACGCACACAUUUUGGUUGCUGGGGUCUCAUAACAGAACGGAACUUCUGAGGAUUCUGCCCCAUGCCCUGCUCUGGGGAGAGGGGUCCAUCGCCACCCCGCACAGCCGGUGAGUCCCCACACCAGCAGCCCCAGCCCCCACUCGCCUCGCCGCUCUGCAAUCUGCAGGUAGCCAGUGGACAGGUACUGCUCCAUGUCCUGCUGGAAGGCUUCCUCAAAAAACUUCUGCCGCU